rnacentral:rRNA from 1 species
AAAUUGAAGAGUUUGAUCAUGGCUCAGAUUGAACGCUGGCGGCAGGCCUAACACAUGCAAGUCGAACGGUAACAGGAAGCAGCUUGCUGCUUUGCUGACGAGUGGCGGACGGGUGAGUAAUGUCUGGGAAACUGCCUGAUGGAGGGGGAUAACUACUGGAAACGGUGGCUAAUACCGCAUAACGUCGCAAGACCAAAGAGGGGGACCUUCGGGCCUCUUGCCAUCAGAUGUGCCCAGAUGGGAUUAGCUUGUUGGUGAGGUAACGGCUCACCAACAAGCUAAUCCCAUCUGGGCACAUC